GACCCUGUAGCUCUGCAGGAUCAGGGUUGGAAACCACUGCUGUACAGAGUAACAGAAGAGCAAAGAAAAAGGGAAACUCGAGGCCUGAACCCCCAAAUAGCAAACACAUGAGGCAAAAAAACAACUCCCCAGUGGCCGAUGCGGAGCGGAGGAAUAUGCUAGUCUACGCGCCGAGUAGACAGAGGGUAUUUCUUCUCCAGUUUCUGGAUGUAAUCCCUGGCUAAGCCGGGCUGAACAAGUACAAGUUGAACCAAGUGGGUGGGAGUCUUCACCUCUGCUGAAACCACAGGCUAUGGAGCUGAACCAACCACGGAAAGAGCACCUCACCCAGAAACAUCCAAAACACAUCAGAAUAAAUUAGACAGGGUGACCCAGAAGGCAAUGCAGACAGACAGACAGACAGACAGUGAGUAGGGAAUGAGACACUUGACCAGGCCUGACUGGUGUCACCACAUCUCAUGAAGUGUCAAGCUUCUAUACCGUAGAGCAGCCAAUUCAACGCAUUGUGAUCUCAGCAAACUCCCGCUUCCCUCCACUCAACGAGAACCACCACCAGAGUGACGGCGAUAAGCCACAAGUGCUGAUGGACUGAAAGCCUAUACUGCAUAUACUGAACAAGCUGGAAAAGGGCCAGGAAACGCUAUUUAUAUUUACUAAAUAAUAUGCAAAUCACUCCCGGAAGAUUACGCUUGGAACUUUUGUUAGUAAGAACGGGGAACGGUGCGAUGGAGCCAGGAGAAGCUUGACUGUUUAUGCCCGGAGAUGUUUAUGCCCUACCUGCUGCAUAUGCCUCAGUGCUGGCCUGGACGGGCAUGCCUGCUCCAGGCCCUGGCGCCAGAACCUCCUCUGGUUUUGGCUGAGUGGUCGGUGGACAUGUUUCCAGGAGCUCAGAGGUCUGGGGCUUGUUACUGGUAGUUAUUUCACAGCCCUAGUGCCAGAAUUUCAGAAAUUCAGUGGGAAAGAGGGGGCUUGACUACUAAUGCUGGAGUUUCCCGGUCCCAGACUGUGUGCCCGACUCAGUACUCAAAGGUUGAGUGACUUGGAUUCGACUGCUCGGCCUCGGCAGCAUUUGGACUUGUACCCAGUUCAGAAUUGGUGUCCCUGGCUGUGAGACGCAUAGCACAGUGCCCAGGACACCGUCACACUUCAGAUUUACAUAUGUGCCGGCUCUACUCAGUCCUGAUCAGGUGCCCGUUGUGAAGUUGUUGAAGGCAAAGUAUUUUCUCUGUUUAUAAUCCAACAAUUCACACAUGGUCAAUGCGUCACUGACGAAGGCUUGCUGGUUCGAUUCUGCCCUGGGUGUGUCAAGUGUCCCGGCGCAAGUUGCUUAACCCCCUAAUUGCUCUUGACAAGCUGGUUGGUGCCUUGCAUGGCAAGCCAAUCGCCGAUGGUGUGGGUGAAUAAGAGGCAUCAAUUGUACAGUGCUUUGGAUAAAGGCGCUAUAUAAGUGCAGUUACAGAAUUUUUUAUAUGUAGCCUCCCAUGUCAUGAGUCUAGGCCUUUGAUUGCCUUUGGAGUCUGUUAUUGCCGUUUGUCAAUAUGAAAUGUCAAUGAAAGUCAAGGAAGCCAUUAUGAUGCUGAAAACAAAACAGUCUGAGACAUAGGCCAAUCAAUAGGCUUUCCAAAACAAACUGUUUGGAACAUCAUUAAGAAGGAAGAGAGCACUGGCACAUGUUUGGGAUCAUUGCCCUACUGUGGGAUGAAACACUGUCCAAUGAGUUUGCAAGCAUUUGAUUCAACUUCUGUACACUUCAUAAUUAAUUCUGCUGCUGCUAUCAGCAGUUACAUUAUCAAUUAAGGCAAGUGAGCCAGCACCUAUGGCAGCCAUACAUGCCCAAACUGUAACACCCCACCACCAUGUGUCACAGAUGAGAGGGAAUGCUUUGGUUCAUUGGGCAGUUCCUUUUAGCCUCCUCACUUUGCUCUUGCCAUCACUCUAAUACAAGGCGUACUUGGUCUCAUCUGUCUGCAAGACCUUUUUCCAGAACUCUGCAGGUUAUUUUAGGUACUACUUACUGUAGCAAACUGGAACCUGCUAGCUAGUGGUUUUCACAGCUAGCUAGUGGUUUUAAACUUGCAAUAUAGCCUCUGUAGAUCUGUUUGUGAAGUAUUUUGUGGAGAGUAGACACUGAUAUAUUCACACCUACUUCCUAACAAGUAUUUCUGGUCCACUGGACAGGUGUUUGGGGGCUUUUAUACAUUAUGGUUAGAUUUUUUAGUCAUUGGCUGUAGAUGUCUUCCUUGGCCUACCAACCCCUUUGCAAUGACUGAGCUUACCAGUGCUCUUUCUCCUUAAUGCUUAAUAACAGUCCACAUUUUGGUAAGCCUUGUCUGACUGUUUUUUUCUGUCUCUUGCAGUAUACCAGUAGACACAGCCUUAUAGCACUUCCUUGACCUGAAUCCUCAUAUUAAUUGAAUGGCAAUCACA